GCCGUUCUAGUAUAGUGGUUAGUACAGCUCGUUGUGGCCGAGCAGACCCAGGUUCGAUUCCUGGGAACGGCA
rnacentral:tRNA from 1 species